GUCACAAAAAAAAAACAAUCGUUU
rnacentral:snRNA from 1 species